UAUGGUCAAAUAACGCUAAAAACACCAGUUCUCGUUCGAUCACGAAAUUUCAUCAUCGUAGAGCCAGGUCAGUACUUUGAUGGGGGACCACUUGGGAACAUCUGGUAC